UGAGGAACAUGACCUUCGGCGGGGGAUAGCCGGCCCAACGGCCGGGUAAUACCGCGUACGACCACUUGGGGACAUCCUCGAGUGGUGAAAGCAGCAAUGCGCCGAUGAAGUGCCUCGCGGCCUAUCAGCUAGUUGGUGGGGUAACGGCUCACCAAGGCGACGACGGGUAGCUGGUCUGAGAGGAUGGCCAGCCACAUUGGGACUGAGACACGGCCCAGACUCCUACGGGAGCAG
rnacentral:rRNA from 1 species